ACAGCCCUUUCUCCGCCCUCCUAAGGUUGCUUUGGCGUCUGCUGCAGUCAGCUAGUCGUCUGCAUUCCACGAAAACGCCUGCCCUGGGAUCGCUCCCAGCCGAAGCCUCCUCUGGUCCGCUCCCCGUGGCUCCUUCCGUGCUUCGCUCCGAAGCCUCUACCGGUCCGCUCUCCGCGGCUCCUUCUGGGCUUCGCUCCGAAGCCUCUACCGGUCCGCUCUCCGCAGCUCCUUCCGGGCUUCUACUUCCCCCCAGGGGUGGCACCAGUAUAUAUACGGAUACAGUGUCCAAUCAUAUUAAAGCCGCAUGAUCGCUAUAUUCGGCGGCUCAGCAAUGUGGUGGCUCCCAACAGGUGAAGACAAAGGAUUCUCUGGAUAAGUCCACUUAUAUUAAGACCAAGGACAAAGAGUGGAGAAAUUGAGGAAAAUGCAGGAAAUGAGUAGGACCUUGGGAGUCACUUCAAGGACGUCUCCAAGUCAUGAAUCAAGUUAAUUUAGUAGCACUGUCUUAUCAUGAAGACAUGGUAAAAGUGAGACUAUAGGAGUGAUCUUCACAGCUGCAGUCCCUACCUUGUUACUUGGGGUUGGAGCCAGAGUGUCUGCAGCUGUGGCCUUAUCUUACCCUUUGAGGUAUCUCUGGCCUCACAGGGCACUACAGGCCUCAGCCAGGACCGUGAUUCAUAGAGGUUCACUUACUAUGAAUCAGCUCCCGUUGCCAGGCAAGGGGCCUGGGCCUAGGACAGACUCACGGAUAAACAUAGAAAGCCAAUUAAUAAAAUUUAAAUCCUGCUCAGAGCUGCUUCAUAGUAGUCUCCAACAAGGUAAGGUCUGUUUGGAAGCAGAACACUGGAAGCAUGAUGUGAAACAGUACACUCUUGUACUUAACUCCUCUCUUCCUUAUUUCUGCUUCUGGAUGCCUUGAAUAAAUGCCUUUUUUCCAUCAUAUCCUUUCAUUAUAUUGUUUUGCCUUGAAGCCAGCCAAGUGUGGAAGAAAAUCACUGAAAUCUUGGUCCGAAUAAACCUCUUAUUCUUUAAUUUAUCUCAGUUAUUUUUCCCAGUAAUGAGAAAGCUGACUAACAGAGAAAUUGGUCCUAGAGAAGUAGUUUGCUAUGAUUGCACCUGAUCACGUGUCCUAAAAGUUUUUAGAACUGGUUUCAGGAGUUGAUAAAGUUUAAAAGAUGAAGAUUGGGGAAGCUCUAGAAUACUGUAAACUUAAUUAAUGAUUCUUGUUGGAGCUUGGAAGACAAAAGUGAUAUAGAUACGCUGCAAGUGGAGGCCAGGUUCAGGAAGUUUCAUUUUGGAAUAAGGACUCUAUUGGCAGUUGUUCUAAAAGUCAGGUGUAUUACAUUCUUUCAGAAAACUUUUCAUCAUAUUUGAAGAUAAAAUCAGUGGAUUAAUUGAUCUGGCAGAAGAAAUUUUAAGGCAGCCCAAAAUUUAGGGUGUGGCAUUUGAUCUGUUUAGUGGUCUUAAGCACAUUCAUAGUGAGAAUCAGGAGUAAAAUGCACAGCCAAGAGAUAUUUUUAAAAGGUUUCUGGUUUGUAAGAAAGCUACUUCUUGAAAACUUAGGUGAAGGAGAACAUCUUUGUGGAAGACUUGAACAUUUGAAAAGAAGCCAAAUACUUUGCACCUGGACAGUAGGAGAAGCAGCUGUGAAGCAUCUCAGGAGGAGGCUCCAUAGUGCACUUCCAGAAUCAUAGGCUUUAAAGAGGAAAUUCCUUUAAAUGCUUUGCUUUGAGGAGACAGCCACAGAGUAUCCCACUCAGAGCCACUUAAAGUGAAUCCUCAGCUCUGCCACUGACACACUCAAAGGCUACUGCAGCCAAGCUCUUGGGGGUUUAGUUGUUUCUAGAGCUGGCAACAGACCGUGGCAUCAUCCACAUGGUGGUGAUUUUUCAGACAUUCAAAAUGCAAGACUGAUGAGAAAAUGAAAGUUUCGACAUCGAUUUUAAAAGAAUACCCAGGAGGCUUUGCAAGUUGCCAUUGAGAGGCUGGUUCAUGAAUCUAUGACAGUAGAAUCAAAAGUACAGAAAAAAACCCCAAAGUUUGGAUUUACUAGGAAUGUGGAUAGGCAGCAAGCAAAGCCAGUACAACUGUUGUAGCCCAAAAAUGAGACCCCAAAGUGUUGUCCCAAAAAUGAGGUGAGAUGUCAUUUAAAAGAAAAAGGAGUGCUUUAUUUAAGCUGACACCAGUGACAAAGUUUUGUGCAAUUGGAGUUUGCAAAGCUGUGUAACUGGGUUAAAAUUUUGUCAGACUUUUAUAGGAGAAAACCACAAAGCAAAUGAUGGGAGAAGGAACAAAGUGAAGAAGACCUUUUUUCCCUUUUGCUUGAGGACAGAGAAUUUAUGGGAAGUUUCACAGUCAGUGGUCAGCUAUUUCCUUUCUCAGAAGAAAUUUACAGCCCUUGGUCUACUAAUUCAAGGAAUAUCUGUUUUUCAUUACAGUAAUAUCUGUUUUUAAUUAUAAGGGUUAAGACAGUGUGUGGAAGCUUGUGGCCAUUUAAUUUUGGACAACAUCUGUCCCUCACAAAGGGGAACAAAGGUUAACAUAGCAAUCAAAAAUCCGGGUGAAAAUGCAUAGAGAACAGUAUAGUGGUGCUGUAGUUAAUUUAUAGCAAUUUGGUCAGUGUUCAGGGUGGUCAGAUGAGAAAAACAGCUGUGUUUGUGAAGGCAGUUACAAGGUAAUUAGGUCAAAUAACUAGGGCAAUGGCCAGCAUAGAACAGGAUGACAAUGCUCUUUUAGUGAGUGCACAGCACAAACAAAGAGGCCUAAUGGCAAUGCUAUAGAAGUUGGUCUGCCCAAGCCUUUUGGAAUUCACAGUGCACCACAAUCUCAGGUGUUUAAUGCAGAGUUAAAGAUUUAAUGCAUGCCUUUCUGGAUUUUGCACUUCUUUUGUCUGAAUCCUCUCUAUCCUAUAUACUUUUGAAUUAAGAAUGUUGAGUCUGGGCCAUUGCAUGUUGGAAGUUUUUAAUUUUCUGUAUUAUUUUCACAGGAAAUAAGAGUUUGUCUUGAGUCUCAGAAAAGACUUUGGACUUGGAGUUUUCACCAAUAUUGAAAAUUUUAAGACUUUCAUGACACUUAGAGCUGAACUAAAUGUAAUUUGCAUGACAAGAUGGACAUGAGCCUUCUGGGUGCUGCAAUAGUAUGUUAUAGUAUAGUUUGAGAAUUUCCCCUCAAAGUCUUGUGUUUGGAGGUACAGAUUUAAACAGUGACUGAAUCAUGGGAUGUUACACUCAUCAAUGUCAGUGGAUUAAUCCAUUGAGCAUGUUAAGUUCAUAGCCAAGUGUGUUGUUAGGAGGUGGCACCUGGUUGGGGAAAGGUCAAUGGAGGCAUGAGUUGGAAAGUUAUUACCUUUCUUACAAAAUGCCUCAUACUAAAAAUUAAAUGGGGAAAGAUUUAUUUAGCUCAUAAUCUGUAGAGGUUUCUUUAGCUCACAGUUUGUAAAAGUUUCAGUCCAUAAUCAGCUGACUUUAAGGCAGGGUGACACAUAGCAGAGGAGCAACAGUUCAUGGUGGCAGAAGACAAAUGCACCAGGGAGUGUGGGUGUGCAAGCCUCUUUCUGUCCUGUUGUAUGCCGACUACAUGCCCUAGGGUGAGUGUAGCAUUCAAACCCAUAAUCAUAGUGUUGAAUUAAUCACAACAUAUAGAUUCAGUCCCUUCCACAAAGUCUGCUACCCAUGAGUGCAUGAGGAUUUGAAGGGAUGUCCCAACACAAAUCAUAACAGCUGUAUUCUUUCCCCAAGUUUCUCCCUUCUCUUUAUGGCUGCUGUAAAGAGACCAACUUGCCUGCGGCAUGACUUUUCAUCAGUGGAAUUUCUAUAUUGGGGUCAAGUACCCUGGUCCUCCAGCACUGGAUUUGAAGUUAGAGAUAUAAAUUCAACUCUAAUAUCUAUAAAUUACUAAAAACACAAUUGUACCACCCAACAUGUAAUUCUUUCAUUUGUAAAAUAUAGAUCUCUAAUGAAACAUUUAUGUUGUAUUUGAAGAUUAAAUGAUAAAUUCCAAAAGUUAUACUUAAAGAUAAAAUGGUCUCAUGAUGUAGAAUAUGUCUUUACAGUAUAAAUUUAUACAGAGAUACAAUAAAUCAUUUUCACCAUAUUAUUUAAUUAUAGUAAUAGAAAUAAAAUAUCUAAAGAUGGGAGCAUAAAAUUUUAAGCAGUGACCAUGUGGGGCUGGGAAGAGAAACAAGAAACACAUCUGCCCUUCCCCUGAGCCAGCUGGUGCAUGGGCUGAGAGACAAGAAGAGUGCCCCCCAACCCCUGUAAGCAACCAGCUGAUUUGGAGGAUCAUAGGAUGAGUUGAUAGCAACUGAGGUACAAAACAACUUCAUUCUUGUAUUGUUUGACUGAUUUUUCAGACCUAAAGACAAUAGUAUGAGCACUUUUAGAGGAUAGCAAUAUGCAAUACAGCAACCCACAGGUUCCAAACUGUUGCAUUUGCAUUUUGGUUUGAUUGUAUAUAUUGGUUAACUUGUUCUUUAAUUUUCUCUUUUACCCAUUGGUUGUUCAAUAAGGUGCUAUUUAAUGUUCAUGUAUUUAUAGAUCUUUUGUCAUUAAUUUCUAAUCUAAUUUCAGCCCACUAUGGUCAGAUAAUAUGCAUGGGAUAAUUUCAAUUUCUUUGCAUAUAAUUAAGAAUGUUCUAUAGGUUAGUAUAUGAUCUAUUUUAGAGAAUGUCCUAUGUGUGUCUGUAAAGAAUGUGUAUUCUAAUUUUCUUGAGUGGAACACUCUAUAAACAUCUACUAAGUCCAUUUGUUUGCAAAUUUAAUUCAGUUUCAUGAUUUAUUUGCUGAGUUUUGGUUUAGUGGCUCUUUGUGAUAAUUGGUUUAGUUUAUUUAUUUGUCUCUUUGUAAUAAUGGAGUGUUAAGGUCUCACAUUAUAAUUGUAUUAUUUAUUUGAUAUUCUUUUUUUUGUCUUUUUGAGACAGGGUCUUGCUAUGCAGUUCAGGCUGGCCUUGAGCUCAUUUUGUAACCCUCUUGCUCUUCUUAAUUUGAUGGUCUGUGUUCAGAAGUCUACCAUAAUUCUGAUAGGCUUUCCUUUAUAGAUGAGCUGUUCCUUUUCUCUAGCAGAUUUCAGUUCUCUGUUUUUAUGCUGAAUUUCUGGGAUCUUCAUUGUUACAUGUUGAGGUAUAGAUUUAUUUUGGUUAUGGAUAAUUGCAUUGUGUAUACCUUGUUGCUUUGAAUGUCAGGAUCUUUCCCCAUGUCUGGGAAAUUUUCUUCUAUUACUUCUACAACUAGAUUUUUUAUGUCAUUGUCUUUGUUUCCUUUUGUGUUUCCACCUAUAAUCCUUAUGUUGUUUCUCUUUGCAGUAUUUUACAGCUACUGAAUUGUUAUGUUUCUGAUCUCUUGUUAUUUUUCAAAGAUCUUUCUUUUUAUGAUCAUUAGCCAAAAUCCUGUCUUCAAAAUCUGAGAGUGUCUUCAAUUACUUUUAUGGGGCUUUACCAGUUUUGAAAGGAAUUUUUAAUUCCUGGAAAUCUCCUAGAAAAUAUUUCAUAGAUUCUAAUUGUUUCUUGUACAAAAGAUGGAAAACAAUACUUCAUGCAAGAGAAACUGAAAAAAAAGUGAGGGUAGUUUUUAUUUUUGUAGACAAUGUGAACUUCAAAGUAAGAAUGAUCCUAAGAGAUAAAGAGGGUCACUACAUAUUGGUUAGGGCAAAACUUCAAGAGAAAGAGACAACAAUGUUAAAUAUAUAUGCACCAAAUUCCAGAGCACCCAGUUAUAUAAAGCAGGUAUUAAUAUAAAUGAAAAACCAAAUUAGCAAUAACAUAAUUAUAACAGGAGACCUCAGCACACCAUUGACACCAACAGACAAAUCAACCUGAUGGAAAAUCAGCAAGGAAAUAAAAGAACUGAAUCACACCUGUGAACAAAUGGACUUGAUAGACAUAUACAGAGUGUUCCAUCCAAAAGCAGCAAAAUAUACAAUCUUCUCAUUUAUUUGAUAUUCUUUUUUUUUUUUUUUUGAAAUCAGGGACAUUUUCUAAAACAGAUCAUACAUGCGUCCACAGAACAUAUUUAAGUAAAUGCAAAAGAGUUCAAAUUAUCCCAUACAUGUUAUCAGACCAUAGAGACAUAUGCAAAAAGAAUAUGCAAAAACCACACAAACACGUGGAAAUUGAACAAUACAUUCUUGAGCACUCAUUGGGUCACAGAGGAAAUUAAAAAAAAACCUUUUAUAAGGUCCAAUAUUCAUUCAUGAUAAGAACUCUACAGAAAAUUGAAAUUGAUGGACUUUACUUCAAUAUGAUAAAGUCCAUCUAUGACAAACCAACAGCCAGAGUCAUAUUAAAUGGUCCAAAACUGAAGGCCUUUACCCAAAAAUCAGGGACAUUUUCUAAAACAGAUCAUACAUGCGUCCACAGAACAUAUUUAAGUAAAUGCAAAAGAGUUCAAAUUAUCCCAUACAUGUUAUCAGACCAUAGAGACAUAUGCAAAAAGAAUAUGCAAAAACCACACAAACACGUGGAAAUUGAACAAUACAUUCUUGAGCACUCAUUGGGUCACAGAGGAAAUUAAAGCAGAAAUUAAACAAUCUCUACAGACAAAUGAAAAUACAAAUACAACUUACCAGAAUCUGUGGGAUGCAAUGAAAGCAGUCCUCAGAGGAAAAUUUGUUGCACUAAGUUCCCACAUCAGGAAAACAGAAUGAAUACAAAUAAACAACCUUAUUCUACACCUCAAACAUCUAGAAAAAGAGCAAAUCAACCCCAAAGCCAAAAGAAGAGAGGAAAUUAUUAAAAAAUCAAAGCAGAAAUCAAUACAAUAGACAUUAAGAAAACAAUUCAUAGAGUCAAUGAAUCAAAGAGUUGGUUCUUUGAAAGAAUAAAUAAAAUGGAUAAGUCCCUAACAAACCUUAUUACAAAAGGAAAAAAAAAAGCUCAAAUUCAUGCAAUAAGGAAUGAAAAAGGUGAAAUCACUACAGACUGUGGAAAUACCCAAGAUCAUCAACAUCUAUUUCAAAAAUGCUACUCUCAUAGGUUCAAUAGCACAGGAGAAGUGGACAGAUUCCUAGAAACAUAUGAAGUACCAAAUCUAGGUCAAGAAGAUGCAAAACUGUUGAAUAACCCAAUCUCUAUGGAUGGAAUUGAAAAUGUAAUUAAGUCCUUACCUACAAAGAAGAGCCCAGGCCCAGUGGAUUCACUACAGAAAUCUACAGGAAAUACAAGAAAGACUUAAUGCCAAGACUCCUCAAACUCUUCAAUGAAAUUGAAAGGGAAGCAAUCCUUCCUAAGUCAUUUCUGGAAGCAAAUACUACUCUAGUACCAAAAUCUGAGAAACACUCAACUAAAAAAAAGCGAACUACAGGCCAAUCUCCCUAAUGAACACUGAUGCAAAAAUCCUCAAUAAAAUAUUGGCAAGUAGGAUGCAGUAAAUCAUCGAGAACAUUAUACACCAUGACUAAGUGGGAUUCAUCCCAGGCUUGCGGGGAUGGUUCAACGUAUGCAAACCGAUAAAUGUAAUCCACCAUAUCAAUAAAGCCAAAAGUAAGAAUCAUAUGAUAAUUUCGAUAGAUGCUGAAAAACCUUUUAUAAGGUCCAAUAUUCAUUCAUGAUAAGAACUCUACAGAAAAUUGAAAUUGAUGGACUUUACUUCAAUAUGAUAAAGUCCAUCUAUGACAAACCAACAGCCAGAGUCAUAUUAAAUGGUCCAAAACUGAAGGCCUUUACCCAAAAAUCAGGCACAAGACAAGGAUGUCCCUUAUCACCCUUCCUAUUCAACAUAGUACAGGAAAUACUAGCCAGAGCAAUGAGACAAAAAAGCAAAAUAAAACACAUAAAGAUUGGAAAAGAGGAAUUUAAAUUAUCAUUAUUUGCAGAUGACAUGAUACUCUACAUAGAAAACCCUCAAAACUCCAUUAAAAGACUCCUAUAUAUAAUAAAUAAAUUCAGCAGUGUAGUUAGAUACAAAAUCAAUACUCAAAAAUCAAUAGCAUUCCUAUACACUAACAACAAAAUUAUUGAGAGAGGAAUAAGAGAAGCCACACCCUUCACACUAGCACCCAGAAAAAUGAAAUACUUAGGAAUUUAAAUCACAAAAGAAGUAAAAGGUUUAUAUAGGAAAAAUUAUAAAACCCUGGAAAAGAAAUUGGAUCUCAGACAAUGAAAAUAAAUCUUUUAUUCAUGAAUAGGAACAAUAAAUAUUGUAAACAUGACCAUUCUCCCCAAGCUGUUAUACAGAUUCAGUGCAAUUUCAAUGAAAAUAUCAUCAACAUACUUCAUAAUCUAGAGAAAUCACUCAUAGAAUUUAUCUGGAACAAGAAGCGAGCUAGAAUAGAAAAGGCCAUUCUAAGCAACAAAUACAAGGCAGGAGGCAUCACAAUCCCUGAGUUGAAGUUAUACUACAAAGCUUCUGUAAUAAAAAAAAAAGGGUACUAAAAUUAAACACAUCUGAAGAUCAAUGGAAUAGAUUAGAAGAUAAAACCACAAUUACCAACAUAUUCACUGGAAAAAACAACAUUCUCUUUAAUAAAUGGUGCUGGAAAAACUGGCUCUCCAUAUGCUGAAAAUGAAAACUAAAACCAUGCCUAUCACCAUGCACUAAACUAAAAUCUAAGUGGACCAAUGAUCAUAAUAUUAAAAUAGAAAUACUCAAUCUUUUGGAAGAUAAAUUAGGGGAAAAUCUUGGAGAUAUUGGGGUAGGUAGAGAAUUCAUGAACAGCAGUCAAACUGCACGGGAAAUUAUUUCCCAAAAUCAAUAACUGAAAUCAUGCCUUAUUAAAAAGCUUCUGCAUGUCAAAAGACAUCUUCAACAUGUUGAAAAGAAAACACACAAACUGGGAAAAUAUCUUAGUGAACCAUCCCUCAGACAAAGGUCUUUUUUCUAAAACAUAUAAGGAUUUUUAAAAAAGUCAUACCCCUGAAAUUCAAAGACCAAAUCCAAAAAUGGGUAUCUGAGAUGAAUACAUAGUUCCCAGAUGAAGAAAUUCAAAUGGAAAAUAAAUACAUGAAAAAAUGUUCAUUAUCAUUAGUCACUAGAGAAAUGAAAAUUAAAACCCCACUGAGAUUCUAUCUCACUCCAGAACGAAUCAAGAAAACUAUGAACAACAAAUGCUAAAGAGGCUGUGGGGAAACGUGAACUCUCCUGCCCUGUUGAUCAGAGUGUAGACUGUUGCAAUCACUGUAGAUUUCAGUCUGGAGAUUGCACAAAAAGCUGAGAUCCAACUAUUCCACUUCUAGGCAUAUUCCCAGAAGAACUGAAAACCUCAUACCACAGUGAUAUAUAUACACCCAUGUUUAUAGCAGCACAACUUGUAAUAGCCAGACCUUGCAAACAAUGUAAGUGUCCAUUAAGUGGGCAAUGAAUAAAAAAGUUGUGGUUUUUUUAUACAAUGAAGUACUACUCAACUAUAAAGAUUGAUCACAUUGAAAUACUUAUAAAUAAAUGGAUGCAACGUGAGACCAUACUCAUAAGCAAAAUAAAUGAAACUCACGUGUACAAAUACCAUAUAGUCUCACUAGUGUAAUAAAUUGUAAGAGUACAUAAGAAUUAAUGGUAAUUAUGAUUACCCAUUACAUUGCUUUGAAGCCUUAUAAUGUUUUCAUUCAUUAGUUGUAAUGUUUUUAUCCUGGUUUGUCUGAUUUUAUUAUCUGUGAUGGCAUGAACAGCUAUUUUGAAGAAAACAAGACAUUAUAAUAUCCAGUGCUGUUUUAAUAUCAUCUUGCUCUGAAGUCCUUCCAUGCUUUUGUUCUUCUGUUUCCAUUGAUUCUAUCAUGUUGUAUCUUUUUACAUUUUAUUAUGUGUAAUAAUAUAAACAAAAUUUCUAUGAAAAAUGAGAUAUUUUAAUAGCCAUUGUUCAUUUUCUGUUGUUUGGUUUUUAAUUCCCUGUAAUACUUUCAUUAUCUUGAAUGGUUUUAUACUAUUUUGUUUUGUUUGAUACUAUUGUAUAUGAAGUUAUGCUCAAUUAUUUCAAAGAAAGAGACAUUAUCAUAGUUACGGUUAAUUGCAGCUUGUCUUGUGGUGAAAUACUGUGUUGCUUACAUUUUUUGUUCUUAUCUGCUUUAUCAUGCCAUCUUUUGUUUUAAUGGCUUUAAAAUAAAAAAUUUAAAAAGCAA